rnacentral:rRNA from 1 species
UACGUAGGGGGCGAGCGUUGUCCGGAUUUAUUGGGCGUAAAGAGCGUGUAGGCGGCCAGGUAGGUCUGCUGUGAAACUUGAGGCUCAACCUCGAGACGUCGGCGGAAACCAUCUGGCUAGAGUCCGGAAGAGGAGAGUGGAAUUCCUGGUGUAGCGGUGAAAUGCGCAGAUAUCAGGAGGAACACCUGUGGUGUAGACGGCUUUCUGGACCAUAGCUGACGCUGAGACACGAAAGCGUGGGUAGCAAACAGG